UGGAGACAAUAGAGCUGGAGAGGCACCACCAGUAUCAUUUGCUGUGCGCUCAUCCAGUGAGUUGGCUUUGUUUAAAAUGUUAUACACCUCAUCUUUGAUUUAUUAUUCUGACUUAUAUAUAACUUUAUAGCUAAGAUAUGGUUAAGCUCUGAUAUUAUUGAUGGAAAUAAUGAUAUUGAUCCUGUUUGUAUUUAAUUUAUUUCACUUUUGUUAUUCCUUUCUCAACCUCUCCAGAGAAACCAGCUGAAUGCAUAAAUAAAAACUCUGGAUUGAAGCUCCCUCCCACGUGCUUUUUUGUCUUGCAGACAAACCAAUGAGUUGAACUUCACCUUAAAUCAAUCAUAAUAACCCUUACAGACUAAUAUCCUUCAGUAACUGAAUUAUUUCUAUUUAUUUAUUUUGCAGGAUUUGGGUUUUGGGUUGUUGCUCUGGGAGGUAGACCCCUCUCAGCUUCUAAACUCAGCUUGAUACCUCAACUUUAAUAAAACUUCUACUUGAAGUUUGAUCGGGUUUACUUUGGAUGGAUCUUUAUUUUUUUAUAGACAUGACUUUGCAACUGCCUGGGAAUUUUGGUCAAUAUUAUUGUUAUCAUUUUAGUCUUAUCUGUAUCUCUAUCAGAGUUGUUAUCUUUGUUGCUGACUUUUGGACAGCCUCCCCCUCUUUCUUUUUUCAUCUCUGUCUCUUAACCCCGACGGUCACGAAGUUAAGAAGUUUUUAAGAAGAAAACAAAUCUCAAGUACGGUCUCUCUUGAGGUUUCUCCCUGUGAAAAUAAGUUUCUUUUUCUUUUCAUUGCCACUUAUUGCUUACUAGUAGUAAAAAUACUAAAUAUUUGUCAAAAGUUUCCUUUACAGUAUUUUUUAUAAUUGUUGUCCAGAGAAGACUAGUCAUUAAUAUAUCAUAUUUAGUCAUUUACAUACAGCUGUAUAGCUAUAAUUGACUUGAUUCAUUGUAGUUCUAUGAGCAUUUAAGUGAAGCAAAAACAAACCUUUACUGCCAGUACACACUAGAUGGAGCUGCAGGAUUGAAGACCGGAUGUAAAGCCGGACAGUGAGUUCAAAACAUACAGUACAUGUGGAUUAUAGAGCGCAGAAAACUAAGUCCUGAGUGAUUAUUUUCAUGUAGUUAUUCUCUUUAUUUUGUACCGGAGUAAUCUCUUAGUGGUCUUAAACCUGAAGUCAUUGAGCAGGUUGCUCUCUGGCUGAAGUCUGAAAUGCUGUUCAAACCGAACGAGAGGAACUUUAAAGUAAAUUUUGAGAUUGUUUAGAAAAUACUCGUUCCUGUUUUGUAGAGGCGUGUCCGGAGAUCCAUGUCUGACUGGGAAAACCAAUAAUAGUUCUGGAGUGGUCACGUAGAUUCACCUUCUGGGCACGCCACUGUCUCUUGGCUCCCUGCGAACCUUUAAUCCUUCUCCUCAAGAGGUUCAUUUCCAACCGGACAAUAAAAGGGAACAUUACGCACGGUGGGCGACGGGGUCAAAAACAUUGUUCUGCCUGUCAGGAAAAUAAAUGAGCGUACUAUUUUUGCAGUGAUUGGAGCACACAAGUUCUAGGUUGUGAGAACAAUGUUGAAAGUCUCCCGCCGGGGGAAUGUAAGUGCAGCAUAUUAUGUUUUAUAAUGAUGUUUUGAUUCUCUGUGUUUUCCUGAUUGUAGGGCAGGUAUGGUCAGUGUAGCGCUGUUGAGUUUGGAAGCAUGUCUGAAGUUACAUGAGGACACUCGCUCUUAGUGCUGGAGUCAAUCACAGGUGAGCAGUGUUGGCAUACAUGAGAUGACUGGACAGAGUCAGGCUGCUAAAUCAUUCACGUGUCACAUUGAAGGUAAGGAGCAAACCUGUUGCUUGCUGUGAAGUAAAAAUAAUCAUAGAAAGUCACAAAGUACAUUGGAAAAAGCACUUUGAUUAGGUUAGGAUCGAUUUGAAUGAAGUUAGCUGCCUUUGAUGGGUAUGAGAUGGUAAGAAAAUUAGAGAAAUAUCUUUGUUAAUCUUAAAGAUCUUGCUUUCGAAUUCAAAUAUAUAUGAAUAUGUGAAUAUCUAUAACACGGAGUCUGAUAAACUAGCUGCUGCUGAGGUACUAGUGGCCCAGAGGUCUAAGUGCUCUAUGUAUGGUGGCUUUAGUCCUCAUUGCAGUGGUUGCUGGUUUGAAUCUUGGCCACGCCUCCUUUGCUGCAUGCCUUCCCCCACUCCCCAACUCACUCAUUUCCUGUCUAAUAAAAAUUCCCCCUAACUACCGGACUUUAAAGCUACUGUGAGGAAUUUUCACUUUGCGUUGAUUUUGGCGCCCCCUAUGGAUACCAAUUGGCUGAUUCUGUUCUGUGCUUCCUGAGGUAGACAGCAAACUUCGUCCAGCUUCUUUUUAAUGCUCAAAUGUGUCACCCAUUGUGAGUAUUUGCUGCUGAAAACAAACAGCUAAUUCUUCAGUGUGCAGUUAAUCAUCUGGCCUGACUCUUACCCCAUCACCGUUGUAACAAGCAUUAAAAAUGCUGGUCCCGUUUGUUUGAUAUGUUAAAGAAAAGCCUCAAUAUUGAUUUGUUUCUGUUUCACAACCAGUGAAAAACUCAUUGAAGGAGCUAAAAAUUAAAUAAAUCAAAAUUUCAGUUAACUGUGCCUUUACACAACAAUUCAUUCACCUGCAUUAUUUAUUUUCUCACCCUGAGAGCAAAUUUCUUCUAUUUUUUUCCACAUGGUAAUCCUGUAAAUGCUUUCCUCUAUGAACUGCGCUUACUAAUCUGUGUGUCACUUUCCACUGGAAAGACAUUAAUGCUUAAAUAAGUACACCACACAUAAUGGGAUUAAGUACAAAUGAUAUAAGACUGUUAUUAUGUAUAUCAUCUUACUGUUAUGUCAAGAGCCAGUGUGUGCAUUACAUGAACUGUUGAACUUAUAAUAAACAUGUCUCUGCUGACAGUUAAGUCUCCGUCUUUAUUAGGUAUCACUAUUACAGAUGUAACUGUGGGAAAACUGAGUUGCCCCACAGGAUCGUUAUACAGUCUGAUGGUUUCCCCGGCAUCAUACAACUUAAGUCAAUGUUAUACAUGAACAUGUGUGGCUGGGAGUAGAGGGGCCUCUUUACUCUCAGACACUCCAGUAACAUAAACCGACUUCGGUGGAGGAUAAAAUAGAUGUUUAUCUGUGAUUUCAUAAGGUUAAUGGAUACAGAAUUAAAGACUCCUUAGCUGUAAUGUCCAACAGUAAAGAGGAAUACAUUAUUGGUGGUGUAGCUGACUGAUGAGGAAACUGGUACCACUCCACUCAAAGAUAAAGCUCUUGAAUCGUAUCAUAUUCUAUUGUAUCGUGUUGUAUUUUAUUGUAUCAUAUCAUUUUAUGGCGUAUCUUAUUGUACUGUAUUCCAUCAUAGUGCAUAGUAUCGUAC